ACACCAUGAGAGUUGGGAAUACCCGAAGCCUGUGAGCUAACUAUUUAUAGAGGCAGCAGUCGAAGGUAGAAUCAAUGAUUGGGGUGAAGUCGUAACAAGGUAAC
rnacentral:rRNA from 1 species